UAGCGGAGGAGGUGGGAUGACGUCAAGUCAGCAUGGCCUUUAUGUCCUGGGCUACACACACGCUACAAUGGCCAACACAAUAGGUUGCUAAGCCGCGAGGUGGAGCCAAUCCUCAAAGUUGGUCUCAGUUCAGAUUGCAGGCUGCAACCCGCCUGCAUGAAGAUGGAGUUGCUAGUAACCGCAGGUCAGCUAUACUGCGGUGAAUACGUUCCCGGGGCUU
rnacentral:rRNA from 1 species